CUAGGACCCUCCAUCAAUGAGCAUUGUGCCUCCUCUCUCUUUUCUCCUUUUAUCAUUGUGUUCGUCGAAAAUUGGAGUUAAAGAUGCCGCCGAAGUUGAGGUGUUGGAGCCGCCAUUACGUAUGUUGUUCGUUAUCCACUGGAGCAAUAUACCGAGUGGAAACUACGAUGAUGAUGUUGCUUGGUGGAUAAUCAUUUAAGUGCAUCCAAUAUGCUGGAAAAGAUAAAAGGUUGUGAAUUCGGAAUGCUUUGGAACUAUCUUGUGCAUUCUAGCCGUUAGGAACUGUACUUGACUGCUUGGAAGUUUCUGUAUUCCACUUGGCAACAUUGUCUCAAUGUUGCCGAAGAGUCAAAGUCCCACAUAUGAUCAACCACAUGUGAAUGAACAAAGACAUCAACUUUAAUAUUAAAAUCAAAGUUAACCUCACCUAACCCAAUUUCCUUAGUUAUCAAUUCUCAUUCGUGUAUCAUGGAAGCUUUUUUUUCUUUUUUGGUACAACGGUAAUAGAAUCGAGCUCAGUCCAAAGAACCUCCCAUGUAUGGUGGGCAGCAAAGGAGGCGACCUAAUCUGCAGCUCUAUUCAUCUUCCAAAAUACAUAGGCAACCUGAAUCGAACGGCAUCCCGCUUACAACUUCCGGCGAGCGCUACCUCUAGUGGUCCUAAUAGAAUGCAAGCCUUCUUCAGCUGCCGCAUCAUCUUAAAAGAAAAGAACACAGAGGAGGACAUAGAAACAGAGUUUCUAAGUGAAGCAGUUGGAGGUUAGAUUUGGGGAUGAUGGAUGCUACAUUCUUUUUUAGAUAUGCUUUGACGGAGUUGGAGGAUAUCUGGCCUGCUGAAGAAGGAAUAAAACCAGAACUUUUUUAUUCCAAACACUUCCGUUUUACUGUUUGGUCUAAACGGAAGGGUGAAUCCUCUAGCUCAAAACAGCAGAGUUUGCUGCAAGACUUACCCUAAUUUGUUCUUGAGCAGAAAAUAUUUCUGAAAUAUUUCUUUUUGUUCAAUGAAUCAAAAUUCCAGGAUUAAAUCAUUGCUUUUGGCUCAAAGUAGAAUGCAUAUGCUAGUGCACUGCACACAAAUCUAUUUUGGGAUGUGAUUACUAAUUUUGAAGCCGAAUUUGAGCCCAUGAUGUUGGCUAUGUAGAUUGAUUUAACAAUUACUAUGUUUAAAGAUUUCGUUAAGAUGGUUAGCUUUUUUAAGGUUUUAUUGUUAGAGCCCUUGUGGGGGCUUGAAGCAAACUAGGAAGUUAAAAAUUUCAAUCUGUUUAGUAUUAUGAUAUGUUUAGUUGCUGGAUUAAAUUGCUUAAGCAACCAUGCCCCAUGAACUUAAACUCUUCUUAUGGUAAAAUUCAGUAGCUCUUUAUGAAAUUUCUCCCAUAUAUUUUUAAGCUUCAUCUUGCCAGAGGCGUUAAUUGUUAACCUGAACUGGAACUUCAAGUAAUUACUUUCCAGAAGUACAAUUAAGUGUUUGAAGUGAGACAACAACCCAAUAAAAUUUUACAUGGUGAAACAGGUUUCUCAUAAUUAUAGUUUUACAACCCAAAAGAGGUCAGUUAAAUAAUAUGAUAGGGUAGCUAGGUGCUCUCCUCUUAGCUAUCGACAAACUUCAGUUACUGGUCAAAUUUGUGCAGUCAGGAGCUUUUGGUGGAAUUCAAGAAAAAUCUGGGCAAAAAAAUCAAAGAUUUCAAAGAGAAGAUGCUUAAUGCUUAACAUGUCUUUGUUUCCCAGAUGCGUCGUCGUAGCUCUAAUCAUCUAACUUGGUUACUCCCCUCUCUUCUAUAUUAUAAUUCUUCUCUUCUUUUAUUCUGAAUAAAUUUUGGUGACUAACGAGGACUACACCCAUUAGUCUCCUUCCUCUCGAACAAAAAAAAAAAAAGACAAACUACAUAAUUCAUAGAUCUGAAAAGAAAAAGAACAUGAUAUCAUAAACAACUAUUACAUCUUCUACGGAAGUUACAAGUCACACAUUGAGAGGGUGAUUAGCACUCAAUCACACUGAGAGAAUCCACGGAAGCGGAUGCUCCUCCCUCUCUAAAUAGUUUUAUUGUGAACACAUACAUCAGAUAUAUAUAUAGGAUCUCCUCUCAAAAAAAAAAA